AGAACGAACGCUGGCGGCAUGCCUAAUACAUGCAAGUCGAACGAACUCUUCGGAGUUAGUGGCGCACGGGUGCGUAACGCGUGGGAAUCUGCCCUUGGGUUCGGAAUAACAGUUGGAAACGACUGCUAAUACCGGAUGAUGACGUAAGUCCAAAGAUUUAUCGCCCAAGGAUGAGCCCGCGUAGGAUUAGCUAGUUGGUGGGGUAAAAGCCUACCAAGGCGACGAUCUGUAGCUGGUUUGAGAGAACGACCAGCCACACUGGGACUGAGACACGGCCCAGACUCCUACGGGAGGCAGCAGUGGGGAAUUUUGGACAAUGGGCGAAAGCCUGAUCCAAGCAAUGCCGCGUGCAGGAAGAAGGCCUUCGGGUUGUAAACUGCUUUUGUACGGAACGAAACGGUCUGCUUUAAUACAGUGGCUAAUGACGGUACCGUAAGAAUAAGCACCGGCUAACUACGUGCCAGCAGCCGC
rnacentral:rRNA from 1 species